AAAUCUGAGACAGCCUUGGUCUGAGGGAGCAAAGACAGAGAAUUCACGUGCUGCCCAGGCAUAGCCACAUAGCAGGUGGACAUCCCUGGACACUUUUCUGAGUGGCAGAGAUUGGCCUGGAACCCAGCUCACAAUAUGACCAUGGAAAAUUUUACAUAAGCUGAAGAUAAGUUCAAUUACACGAGUGAUUAUUAGAGUUGUCCCAUUGUUAUCUACAGAGGGGUGUGGAGCACGAGAGAAAGCACAGGUGCUGGCACUGAUGACCUUGGGCUGAAUUCUGUCCAUGACUCUUCCUAGUUGUGUGACCUUGGGCAAUGUGCUAUGGCACACCGAAUUUCAUUUUCCUCAUUUGAAAAGUGGAGCUAAUAAAAUCUACCUCACGCUUGUAAUCCCAGCACUUUGGGAGGCCGAGGCGGGCGGAUCACG
rnacentral:lncRNA from 10 species